CUCAAGAUGAGAUGGUCCUGGAUUGGGAGGGGGGGUGCCCAGAUCCAAUGAUGGGUGUCCUCAUGGGAACUGGGGAUGACGCGGAGAUACAGAGGGAGCCAAGGUGGGGAUGGCGGCAGAGACGGGAGCCGUGGGUCUGCAUGCCCAGGAAUGCCUAGGGUCGCCGGCCAGCCCCGGAAGCUGGACGAGGCAGGGACAGGUGUAAGACCUCCGGGAGCCCGGCCAGCUCCCAGCGGUUCCGGACUUCUGCUCACAGCUGGGAGAGAACCGAUUCCUGGUGUUUCUGAGCCGCUCGGGCCAGUCGUCCCGGCCUCCUAGACAGAGGAUUCUCCAGCAAACCCAGUGGACGGAGGGGCUGUGGCUUCAGAGUCUACCAAACCAGUCACUUAGGGGACAGUGGAGAAAACAGGAUGGUUCUCCUACCAGCGUGGACCCCAGAAUGGAGGCCCCCACAGCCUCAGAUGCAGGACAUCAGUGCUGAGACCCAUCCAGAAUGUCUUUGCUCCACGGAGAAUGGACUGCUUCCUGGUCACAGGGCACCACCCUUCACUCUGUGGACUCAGCGGUGAUCCAGAGGAGUGUGCCUCUGCCCCUGUCAACUCAGAGUCUCUGGGGAGAUGGAGAUUAAACACACAAGUGGAUGUAUAACUCAUUAAAGUUGUAGUAGCCUUUCCAAGCAUCCCAAAGGUUUUAGGAAAGCGUUGUUGUUGUUGUCCAAUCACUAAGUCGUGUCCGACUCUGAAACGCCAUGGACUGCAGCUCGCCAGGCUCCUCUGGCCUCCACUAUCUCCUGGAGCUUGCUCAAAUUCAGGUCCACUGAGCUGGUGAUGCCACCCGACCAUCUCAUCCUCUGUCGUCCCCUUCUCCUCCUGCCUUCAAUCUUUCCCAGCAUCGGGGUCUUUUCCAAUGAGUCGGCUUUUUGCAUCCGGUGGCCAGAGUAUCGGAGCUUCAGCUUUAGCAUCAGUCCUUCCAAUGAAUGUGCAGCAUUGAUUUCCUUUAGGAUGGACUAGCUGGAUCUCCUUGCUGUUCAAGGGACUCUCAAGAGUCUUCUCCAGCACCACAGCUGGAAAGCAUCAAUUCUUCGGCUGCACUUACAGGUCUCCAGCUGUAACACAAUUACAUUUCCCUCUCACUGAGUCUUGCUCGUCACCUGUGCCUCACUCCGGGUCCACCAGAAUCCUGCUCUCCUGGGCCGUCACAGAUGCUGUGUAAGAGGAGACGACACGGAACGGUGGGCAGGCGUGUCGCCCACCUCUCCUUUGUCACACGCAUGCUCCCCUCUGACAUUGGACUUCAGUUGCCAAACACACAUUCAGAGAUAAAUUCUUGAGGAUUCCAAGUCAGCAAUGACCAAGGCGGAGCCCUUCUAAGAUGUGCCGGCCCCGAGUCCUGGAUCCAAG
ensembl:lncRNA